rnacentral:misc_RNA from 1 species
UUUGAGUACUUCGGCCCGAAAGCGGUAACGUUUGGUGAAGUGAAGCAGAACAUCCUGGCCUAUCCAAAUCCAUUCAAGUCUGAGGUGAACCUGGAUAUUGAUGUGGAAGAAGAUGCAGAGGUGGUGAUCACGGUGGCAAACUCAAUUGGUAAGGAAGUGUUCAGGCAGACGAUCCGGGUAGCCAAAGGCAGAAACACCGAGCAGCUGCAACUGGAUCCGAAGUUACCAAGAGGUGUGUACUUUAUAACCACACAAAUGAAUGGUCAGUCCAACAACUUCAAACUGUUGAAACAAUAAAUAUUAAAGAUAACUAUUAGGGUUUAAAGCUGAAAGCGGCGGGUAUUUUACCCGUCGCUUUUGCUUUGUGGCUACUUUAGUCAUUGAUG